GUGAAGGUGAGGGUAUCUCUUGCUUGUAAUUUCUGCUUACUGGAGUCCUUCCAAAGCAUUACAUGUUUUCUUAUGGUAUUGGUGGUCGUUUUAACAAGAGCUCAGCACGAAGACCAGUUUUGGCUUGGAAAGUUAUCUGUUUAAUUUCAGUGUUAUGGACCAGGACCCUUAGUCCCUCAUGAGAUGGGAGCAAACUGCAAAUUUUGGAUCAAGACGUCUUUUGCACCCAUAAAAUUUGGGGAUGUCUACAUCAGGGGAUUUUGAUUCAGCUGGCUCUUGGAAGGGGCGAUUCAGCUCAGAUUUGGCUUACGUUCCAGUCUGCACAAAAUACAGAGGGAAUUUGCACAUGAGCUUCUGUUUCCAAGUAGGAUAACGCAUAAAAGAAGCGGCUCAGAAGGUGCUAUUAUACUCUAGAUGCAACGAGCUCUGCAGUUGGUGGUGACAGCAGUUACCUGACGGAAUGCCAUCUUGACAGUCCACAGAAAAGGAAGCUGCAGAGCCCAGCAUCUUUCCUGGCCUGGGGAAACAGUGGAAGUGAGAGCUCAUGGGUGCUGGUUACCCAGGAAGCACAGAUAAUUAGAUAGGUAGCUGCAAGAGGCUGUAUUGUAGAUUAAUCAUGGGAUUUAAGCAACUUUGGUCAUCUGCCUCCAUAAUCCAGAUGCCCAGAAGCUCUCACUUGGAGACUGCAAGUCCUGCAGACUCUCCAGUGGUAUCAGCACAUGCAGGUGUUGGUGUAAACACAAACACACUUACAUUGUUUGUAAGCAUGUGCCCAGGAUCAUGCAGUCUCAUAAAGGCAAGCUGUUAUCACCUCAGUUUCAACAAAUACCACAAAUCAAGAGGCUUAAAGUGUUUUUUAAUGUGUUCUGUUAGCAAGGCUACAGCCAACUGUCCUCCUUGACUAUAUAAUUCUAAGUACUUUGACCAAAACAGGUAUGAUACAUAAAUUUAAAUAAAUCCUUCC
ensembl:lncRNA